AACCCAAAAAACUCAUUAGUUUCAAUUCGACAAAUGCUUGUUAUUAUUGAAAGGGCUAUCCAUCUGUAAUUAUCUGUUGAUGACAUAAAACAUCAUUCCCGCUUUUACUCUUCAUCAAAAAAUUGUAGGAGAGUACCUACUUUUUUAAUGUCAAUUUUUUUAAAAUAUUUAUUCCAACAGGCUUCCAGUCAAACAUAGGACCAAUUCAAAAUAAUUCUUAACAAAAAAAUUUAAAUUCAAUUUUCAACUGUUAAUAUCUUCAAUCUGUAUGUAUAUUUUCGUGAAGUCAAAAAAAGAUUAUGUGUGCCCACUGAUCGAACAAAGGUAUCAACGUUCCGUCUUACAGAGAAAAUCUCAGUUAUAUAACUUAUAGAAUUCUGCAAAAAUACGGAGCCAUUGUUCUUAUGUGGAUUAUAGCCAUUGUACUUAGAUGUUAGUAUUUCCGUUACUACAAGUCAAUCAACAAUGCCCGCUCAAACAUUUAAAUUUGUUGCAAAAUUCAAAUAUGUAAAUAGACGUUAUAGUGAACAAUCUCAUCCUGGAUUAUCAAUUCCAUCUCAAAUGACGGAACCAAUUUUCAAAUAUUGCCAUUUUUUAUAUAACCUAAUCAAAAUUGACUCAAUCCAUAUAGUUUUUUCUACUACAGUCGAUAAUGCGGCGUCAUCAUAAAAAUCUUCCUUUACAAGUGGACCUAUUAUUGAUAAUUUCAAGUUGAAAGUCAGGUGCGUCACCAACUCCGCCAGAAGUAUUGGUUUUACUGCCAUAUCAUUAUUGCCAGAACCAAUAUAACUUACCGAACAGAAUUUUCUUCUGCUUCCAGGUUUUUCUUCCUUUACAUAACUCGAAAACUAUCCUUGUUAAUUUCGUUUUCUAAGUACUCUUCUAGAAUGAUAUUUUCCCAUCUAAAUUCGCAUAAAUUUCUGUGAUCCGAAUAGUUGUCUCAUAUUAAAAAAUGUAAGGAUAAACAGUUAUUUAGCUUUAUAGUAUAAUAUAACGUACAUAAUUGGACAUAAGAUUGUAGGCAGCGGCGAUAAUUAAAAUCUGUGUUCUAAUGUAAUUUUAACAUCAAUAUAAUGAUUAAACUUUAUUAUAGUUUCUUGCGUAAUACUUAACUCAACUGAUUAUCUACUAAGGUUCGUACGAAAUUAUUUACAUACUAAACUACCUCAGAGAAUACAACAUACAUUGGAUGAUAUCUCAUCUUUCUUGAACAGAUUUACAUGUCUAAUAGAUAUGGCGAAUAAUGUUGAGUUUGAAUAGGUUUUGUCGAAACGAUACAAUAGCUACCUGAUUGCUUUUACUUUUUUUUAAAUCAUUAUGUUUUUAUCGAUAUUAUCAAGCAGGGUAGCCAGGGACGGAUUAAAGCUUUACGAGGCCCAGGACUAAAACUUAAGGGCACUAAAAUGUGAUUUUAAAAUUUAAAUUUCCGGGGCCCUCUCAUUAUUGGGGCCUGGAGCUACAGCCCCUGCUAACCCCUCCGUUAAUCCACCCCUGAGAGCAGCCAUGAAAAUUGAUGUAGUUACUUGUAUUCAACUUCGCUGUUUCUUGAAAUUCAUUACAUCUUUGCAACGUCUACUCAUUAUACACGAGCAAUUUUCACAUACAUAAAGAAGGCAUUUAAACUUCUAAUUAAGUAAAAUAACAAUUUUCUAGCUGAUAUAUUUUUAACGAAACUAUAUCUAUUAUCCUCUAACACUUCGGUUUCUAACAUGUAAUUUGGCAAUUCUCCUAUGUAUUUUAAUAAAGACGAGAAACACGGAAAUGGUAUUAAAAAACAAAUAAACGAAUACAAAAAAUAAUUCCGAUCGAGACAUUCUAAAAAAAAUUAAAUAAAACUACUUACAUGUAAAAGAGAGAAUUUUUCCUGGUUUAUUUGUUUAAUAUCCUGAUUUUUUUUCCACCCAUUCUUGUUUUUGUAAACCGCAUUAGCAGUACUUAUAUAUUUCGUAUUGAAAAUGUGUUUUGUAAAAAACGAUUUAUUUGUUUACGUUAUACAAAUCCAUUAAGUUAUACAAAUCCAGUCUUAAUGGUACGGCUUAUGAAUAGAGAAUGACUUACAAACUUAGGAUUUGUCAUAAAGACGACAAAAGUGUCUAUGAAGUGUUCCCGGAUUCCGUGAGAACGGAAAUAUGGGUUUAUCCAGAAUUGGCUGCUGACUUAGCUGUAUCCGUUGGAAGGUGUGUUGGCCUGAUGGCGCAACUCAGUUGUAUUUUUCCGGUAUAUUGGUAUUUAUAGGAUAGAUAGGAUUUUAUAGGUAGAUUGUAAUCUGAUGCACGGUUAUAAAAUUAAUAUUUGUUUUUAGAGGUAUACCAUCAAUUUUUAGUUUUCAUCGCUUCAUGUUUACUAACACUUCUAUAAUUGACUAGGGACAUCCUAUCAAGGAUCAUCCCAUGCGGAAUAACGGGGAUCAAAAUAGAAGGUCCCACGAACCAUUUGUGUUUGCUGGUUUAUUGCCAUAGUUUUCCAAGCCGUACGUGAGAACCGGCAGAAAACAGCUAUUGUACGCACUCUUUUUUAGUUUUAUGCGUAUCAUUUUAUAUUUAAAAAUGAAGUUCAUGUUUCCUGUAUUUUUAUGAGUUGGGUUUAUUUAUAUAAUUUUGAACGCAUCUAAAACAAGUAUUUAUUGAAAUAGUGUAGAGAUGACUCUACUACUGAUACUAAUGGUCAUUGUACAGCGUCUACAUCACCUACCACCAUUAGCAAACUGAAACUUAAAGCCGGCAACCGAAAACUGGCAAAAUCAGUCGAGAUUUAUCUUUCUGAUUAGAUAUGAAAAUAACGAUCUCGUUUCCGACACCAACACGACAUACGUAGAGGCAAGUAUGUUUUUGUUGUUCUUGUUGUUGAAUGAGCACUUAUGUGAUUUCUAAUCUCAUUUCGAGAGACCACUUGCUUCCUGAAUUCAGAUAAGUAUUUGUUUGACGUCAAGUUUUUAAUUAACACGACUUUCAUUGAAACAAUUACAUUUUACCAUCAAAGUAAUGGGAGUAAAGUCUCAUAAAACUUCAGUUUUCAAAAGCUUUUAGGUUAAGUUGCAAUGUCAAUGUAGAUGUGUUUCACAUCAGGCUCAAGUAAACCUCAUAUAAUUUAAAAAUUAGUUUCAUUGAGUGACUCUUUUAUUGAGAGCCUGUGGUUUAUUAGUUCCUGCCCUUAUUUUAAAGUUUUUUAACUCCGUUUGAACUAUACCCGAGAUCACCAGUCAAUGAUUCGGGGUUUCACAACACGCAGGCCUAUCGAGACGACGGCCUAGUUCUUGUUAAGGGAAAGAUCCUGGGCGUUGUUUACAUGUAGUCCUCGAGGUUGCCACAGACAAGGAGGUCAUAGAAGGACCAAAAGGAGAGACUGAGAUCUACUCUGACAGCCAGGCGGCCCUAAAUACACUGUUUGGUGUUAGGAUGAGCAGUACACUGAUCCAGGAGGGCUGGGAUACCCUGAAUAAAGUGGCAAAACCGAACCUAGUGUAGAUUACGGCGCACAUGAGGUUCGCGUGGAUCUUCUGAGAGCCCAAUAACUGCCGAACCUCACAUAGGGCUAAGUAACAGACAGGUAGCAGGCGUACUUAACGACUGGGCUCUUAAAAGUACCACAGUCGUGGAGAAAGGCGGAAGGCUGUAGACAAAUCAAAGAGUUAUUGGAAUGCCAGGCGACGCCAAGACAACGUCCAAAUGGCUGAUGCCAUGGAGUCGCUGGGCCCUGAGAACUCUGGUUGAGGUCAUGGCAGGCCACUGCGGUCUGAACAGACACCUACACCUACUUGGAAUCGGUGACAGCCCCGUAUGUCCACAAUGUGGAACGGCGGAGAAAAUAUUGUUUCACCUGCUAGGAGUAUGCCACCAUUGGUCGUCCUUAAGGAGGCGCGUGCUUGGGGCCUCCACACUCUCCUGCACGGAACUGUCUUUGCUAGAGUGAGACGGGACGCCUGGGUGGUGAAGAUGAGGCGGGGGUGAAUGGAGGGGGAAUGGUGAAAAGGGCCUUUAAGGUCUACUCGCCCGACCCGUUUGGAUCCCCCCACAGUACUACUACUACUACCAGCAUCACAGUAGCGGCUGUGGAAAUUAAAAGUAACGUUUAAGUAACAUAAAAUAAAGCGAGAACCACGUAUUAACAAAAAACAAAUUUCAUUAUAACUAGAAUAACGUGCAUGCGAAUAACUAAAGGGGCUUAAAUUUAUCCUAACAAAACAAUACGCUCCAUAAGUGGUGAAGUCACAAAUAAGACAUAUUCAGGGACUGUAUCUAAGCAAAGCAAAUUUGCAUUGGAAUUAGAUACAAAGUUUCCAAAGUGUGCUGAUUAUCUUAACAGUGAAGAAAAAGAAGCAUUUGCAGUAUUUGCAUUUAGGAGUGUCUUAGUAACGAUUCUACAUUGAAAUCAUAGCGUAAUUAUUAGUGGUUGUAUUUAUUUUUCACGAAAGUGUCUUGGUCACCUCAAACUUGAUGUGAAUGGAAAGCAGAUUUCAUAUUAGUAACUGUGUUAAAACCUGUUAUUUGUAUUUAAAUGUUAUAGAAUAAUGGUUAUGUGUUGGGCUCCUGAAUAUAAAAAUUAUGAGGAUCGUAAAAA